rnacentral:rRNA from 1 species
UACGUAGGGUGCGAGCGUUUAAUCGGAAUUACUGGGCGUAAAGCGUGCGUAGGCGGUUCGCUGUGUCCGAUGUGAAAGCCCCGGGCUUAACCUGGGAAUGGCAUUGGAAACUGGCGGGCUUGAGUGCGGCAGAGGGGGGGUGGAAUUCCGCGUGUAGCAGUGAAAUGCGUAGAGAUGCGGAGGAACACCGAUGGCGAAGGCAGCCCCCUGGGUCGACACUGACGCUCAGGCACGAAAGCGUGGGGAGCAAACAGG